rnacentral:lncRNA from 1 species
CUCCCUAACUCCAGCUUAUGCGGUUAAUUAGAUUUGGAUGGUUUCAGAGGAGCAGCUGGAGUUUUCAGAAAAUGGGAACCAUAAAAAGGGACUAUUCAAGGCUAGAGAAGCUCUUUUUUGGACCAGGAAACCGAGCCCCUAUCAUUUCAUCAGUUGGAGAGAGGCCCUCCCCAGUGGUUGGUGGUCAGAUAGGAGAAACCUGUGCCAGGACACUCUGCAGCAUUCGGAGACACAGACAGAAGGAGCUGGAAACGUCUCGCCAUAAUUGGCUCUCUCUAGGCUGCUGCCUUGUUGUGAGGAGAGGUGGUACUCCCUCCUCUGCACAGUGAUUGCUGGCCCAAAAUAGCCCUGCACCUGCUCUGAGAUGCCUGCAAGAUAAUUUCAGCUUCCAAGGAAACUGCCCUGAUUGGUGUUGAUUUUUCAUGACCUCCCUUCAGGCAAACACCUGGAGAUAAGCACCUGAUCACAGAGGUGCACCCUGGAGAGUUGAAGGCACAGAGGUAUGCAGCCUGGGUGCUCCUUAUCUCCUACCAGGGAAGGGAGGAUCAGGUUCUGGGUGCCUCUCACCCCACGGGUAUUGGAACCAAAAGGUUGGGCACUAACUGGCCAAUGCAGAGGGCAGGGAAAAGGGCAGGGGGGUAGUGUGGGGACUAGGAGCCUGAGCCAUCACCCUGGGGAGCCACUUUGGAAGCAAUGCUUGAAGUGGGCCGACUCUGAUCUCUGAUUUACAGUCUGACUAUGACCUAUCUUCCCAGCUUAUCUCCCACCUCUGCAUACUCUUCCUCUUCAGCUCAAACCAGCUCUAUGGAAAGAUCUUCCUUUAGCUCAUGCCUGAAAUUCUGGUUUGCUCACCUAACCAAAUACUUCCCUUUCAGCUCAAACAUCACUUUUUCCUCGGACCUAACUGUGGCCUUCUGUGUAUAAAAAAAAUCCAGGGCACUUGGGAGAAAUACAAAUAACUGCUUGAAAACUGGGAGGGAUCACACACAGAUGAGUGAAUUGGCAUCAUAUUUAAGGCAUAUUAUUGAUGCCUGCCUGCUAUACUUAAGACACUGUCAUGAGUGACUGCAUACAUAGUCUCUCAUCUGAUUCUCUCCAGAACUCUACAUGGUAUCCUUGUGUCCACUUUUCAG